rnacentral:misc_RNA from 1 species
AAGUCGUAACAAGGUUUCCGUAGGUGAACCUGCGGAAGGAUCAUUAACACGUUUUCCAAACGUUAUUGACCCAUUCUAUUUUCCGUGCACACACAUGCGUCCGGCCUCCCAGCCGCCUGUCGGGUUUACUCGGCGUGGCCUGUUGGGCGUCUUUGGGAUCAAAGGGGUGAGUUGGGUGGAGAGCAAUCUCUGUCUAGCUUUUUCCCUCCCUCUGGCGUUGCCACCUCACCCAAACCCUUUAAUCUAAUCUAUCUGAACUUUUAGUUGGCCUCUUCACCGAGUACAACGAUACAAAAACAAACAACAACUCUUAACAACGGAUAUCUUGGUUCUC